CCACAUUCGGUUUGUUCUCCACUGUAUAUCAACCCGUGAUGAUAAAAAGAGAGUAGACCUAUCUAUUUUUUAUUUCAAAUUCUCCUCCUCUUUCUACUUGUUCGAUUUGCCAUUCGAGAUGGAGAGGAAAAGAAAUAUAAAGAAAAAAGAAGGCGGGCUUGAAGUCGCCUCUUCAAUUUGACAAUAUUCUUCAUUUCAACAACCACCUGGCCACUUGU
ensembl:snoRNA K07E1.2 ncRNA